rnacentral:lncRNA from 1 species
UAAAACUGAAUAUUACAGACUGAAAUUCAGGAGACUGUUGUGGCAAUGACGUAAAUUACACUCCAUAUGAUGCAUCAUCACUAUAAAUUUAUAAAUACCACCUGAACGAGACAAGACACAACAUGUGAUCUACAGAGUAUUAUUGUAUUCUCAUGAGAUAACUCACUUUUUUAUCUUCUCCAGAAACUGACUAGUCACUUAGCCAUAGCAUCGGAUUGGAUCGUUGCAACCUUUCUCAGCAGAUUGACUGAGACCCAUGCGACCACCUUUUGCCAGGUACUGCUGGUGGUAGUUUUCUGCUCUGUAGAAUUUAGUGGCGGGAAGUAUCUCAGUCACAAUCUUCCUGUUCAAGAUCUUCUGCUGUUUCUCCAUUGCUUCACGAGCUAACUUCUCU